rnacentral:snRNA from 1 species
AGAGCAUCACUUGAACCCAGGAGGGGGAGGUUGCAGUGAGCUGAGAUUGUACCACUGCACUCCAGCCUGGGUGACAGAG